rnacentral:rRNA from 1 species
GACGAACGCUGGCGGCGUGCCUAAUACAUGCAAGUAGAACGCUGAAGAGAGGAGCUUGCUCUUCUUGGAUGAGUUGCGAACGGGUGAGUAACGCGUAGGUAACCUGCCUUGUAGCGGGGGAUAACUAUUGGAAACGAUAGCUAAUACCGCAUAACAAUGGAUGACACAUGUCAUUUAUUUGAAAGGGGCAAUUGCUCCACUACAAGAUGGACCUGCGUUGUAUUAGCUAGUAGGUGAGGUAAUGGCUCACCUAGGCGACGAUACAUAGCCGACCUGAGAGGGUGAUCGGCCACACUGGGACUGAGACACGGCCCAGACUCCUACGGGAGGCAGCAGUAGGGAAUCUUCGGCAAUGGGGGCAACCCUGACCGAGCAACGCCGCGUGAGUGAAGAAGGUUUUCGGAUCGUAAAGCUCUGUUGUAAGUCAAGAAUGGGUGUGAGAGUGGAAAGUUCACACUGUGACGGUAGCUUACCAGAAAGGGACGGCUAACUACGUG